AGUGAACGCUGGCGGUAGGCCUAACACAUGCCAGUCGAACGGCAGCACAGUAAGAGCUUGCUCUUACGGGUGGCGAGUGGCGGACGGGUGAGGAAUACAUCGGAAUCUACUUUUUCGUGGGGGAUAACGUAGGGAAACUUACGCUAAUACCGCAUACGACCUACGGGUGAAAGCAGGGGAUCUUCGGACCUUGCGCGAUUGAAUGAGCCGAUGUCGGAUUAGCUAGUUGGCGGGGUAAAGGCCCACCAAGGCGACGAUCCGUAGCUGGUCUGAGAGGAUGAUCAGCCACACUGGAACUGAGACACGGUCCAGACUCCGACGGGAGGCAGCAGUGGAGAAUAUUGGACAAGGGGCGCAAGCCUGAUCCAGCCAAACCGCGUGAGUCAAGAAGGCCUUCGGGUUGUAAAGCCCUUUUGUUGGGAAAGAAAAGCGGCAGGUUAAUACCCCGCUGUUCUGACGGUACCCAAAGAAUAAGCACCGGCUAACUUCGG
rnacentral:rRNA from 1 species